UACGGAGGGGGCUAGCGUUGUUCGGAAUUACUGGGCGUAAAGCGCACGUAGUCGGCUUUGUAAGUUAGAGGUGAAAGCCCAGGGCUCAACCCUGGAAUUGCCUUUAAGACUGCAUCGCUAGAAUUGUGGAGAGGUAAGUGGAAUUCCGAGUGUAGAGGUGAAAUUCGUAGAUAUUCGGAAGAACACCAGUGGCGAAGGCGGCUCACUGGACUGGUAUUGACGCUGAGGUGCGAAAGCGUGGGGAGCAAACAGGG
rnacentral:rRNA from 1 species